CAAUAGCGUAUAUUAAAGUUGUUGCGGUUAAAAAGCUCGUAGUUGGAUUUCUGCUGAGAACGACCGGUCCGCCCUUUGGGUGUGUAUCUGGCUCUUUCUUGGCAUCUUCUUGGUGAACGUUGCUGCACUUGACUGUGUGGAGCGCUACCCAGGACUUUUACUUUGAGGAAAUUAGAGUGUUUCAAGCAGGCAUACGCCUUGAAUACAUUAGCAUGGAAUAAUAAGAUAGGACCUCGGUUCUAUUUUGUUGGUUUCUAGAGCUGAGGUAAUGAUUAAUAGGGAUAGUUGGGGGCAUUCGUAUUUAACUGUCAGAGGUGAAAUUCUUGGAUUUGUUAAAGACGGACUACUGCGAAANGANNNGCGAAGGAUGUUUUCAUNGA
rnacentral:rRNA from 1 species